rnacentral:lncRNA from 1 species
CUGAUCAAGAAAAAAUACUUAACCUUGAAGUUAACUAUUAUAAAACAUUAUAUUCCUCAACUAAGCCUGAUGUGGAAGAUACUAAAAAGUACUUUAACAAUAUUAAAAAAUGUCCAAAAUUAAGUGAUAGUGAAAGUGAUUUAUGUGAAGGAAAAAUAACAGUGCAGGAAUGCACAGAUGCAAUAUUCAAAAUGAAACUAAAUAAAGCCCCAGGUCUAGAUGGACUUAAUGUUGAAUUUUACAGAAAAUUUUGGGAAAAAAUAAAAGAUUUAAUUGUAUCAGUAUUUAAUUUUUGCUAUAAAAAAGGAGAAUUAUCAACUUCACAAAAAAUUGGAGCA